CAGACUCCUCAUCAGCACCAUGAAGAACCUAAGCCUGUACAUUUUUCUCUUCUUUGCUAUCAUCCUCGUAGUCCUGCCAUGGGCUUCUGGGCAUAUAAUCAAUAAACGUGGUGUGAGAUGCCCCUCUAUUUCAAAAUGUCAACAAAAAAGUAAAGACAGAUGCCAGCGGGACAGUGACUGUUCUUCUAGAAACCUAUGCUGUAAUACUGGCUGCAACAUGGAUUGUUUAAGCCCCAUUGAAGUGGAUAUACCCUCAUUUGAUUGUCCAUCAAUAAACUGGUCCAAAAUUGUUCUGUCCAUCAAGUAAUAAAAAUCAGUGUCAGCGCCAUAACGAAUGUGGAGGAGGAGGAAAAUGCUGUAGCACUGGCUGUAAAUAUGAAUGUGUGGGUGAUAAUAAAGGAUCAUCUUGGUUUCCAUUUCCAUUCCCUUUCCUUGGUUAUGUAAAAGCUCCUGUAUAAAUAUACUAAAUUUUCCAGUAAAUCACAUUUUUUAUACAACCACACACAGAG